ACUGCCUUCAACAGGAAGAUCUUUUGAAACUCAAUUUUAAGAAGCAAUUUGACAUACAGAUUCCCUCUUCCAAAGUUUCUGGUGAGGUGAUUGCUCAUUCUCUAUCCCAAGAAAAACAGAACAUUAUGUUCUUGUGAGGGUGAUACAGAGAUCUCUGUACUUUCAGAUACCAGAUACAUCUGAAAGCAGGAAUGAUGCUGUUCCGAAAACAGGCUCAAGUGAUGGAUUGUACAUUAACUAUUCAGAUACUUCUAAUUAUCUGUAAGAUUCUUCCUCUAUCAACCAGUGAGAACACCGGUACCAGGAUUAUGGCCUCCAGUGACCUAGACUGAGACUCCAAAAAGUGCAAGAUUUGUGCCCAGAAACAAGAAAACAGUUGACAGCAAUUAAAGAAGACCUAAAUAAAUGACAAAGAGGCACAGAAGACCUAUUCUCACGAAAGAGACUCACGGUAAACAACCGAACAAAAUGACAAUUAAUAAUAAGAAGCAACUGCCAAACAGGUUAGAAUGUUUGUGUUGUCUUUACAGAAUAUUCCCCCUGGGAAGAUAAAUUAUUUCAUGUGACCGUAGUUCUUGUAAUAUGGAAUUAAACAUGGGGAAGAGGUUUAUUUGAUCAGAUAGAUUUAAGAAAUUGUGAAUGGAUGAUUUACUCACCUGCACUACAGGACUUCUCAAACCACAAAAUUUAGGUAUGAAUUCCAGAGUAUCUUGUAGAAAUGUAGAUUCUGAUUCUGUAGAUGUUGCGUGGGCUCCCAAUUUCUGAAUGUUUAACAAGCUCUCAGGUGAUAUAGAUACUGAUGUUGCUGGUCCAAGGACCACACCUGAAGGAACAAAGCACUAAUAAGACCCUGGAAAAAUCAAAGAUUCUAGUCAGCUGGUCAAUAUACUUUUCUUAAGUUCCCAGUUUUUGCCUAAUAAACUUUUCCAAGAAAAAAUACAUUUCAAUUAAAUAUGUAAAAAAUUUAUCCAUAUACAUAUAACUAUAUAACUGAUAUAUACAUAUAUGUGUAUCAAUGCUUUUUUGAGAAUAUUCUUUGGGAAUAGAUGAGCUAAAUAAAUGCAUGUAAUUACUGAAUUUCAUAGACUAUAUAUAUUCUGAUACUUAGUAUGUUUGCUAAUCUUUUCUUUCUUUCUCAGCAACCUUUAGAGGGACUUAUUAUUAGUCUAUAUACUGACUAAACUCCACAUAUUUCUUUGAACAUUGAUUGAUUCCUUCAACAAUAACAAACUAUCAUUUAUAUACAAGACAUUGCCAGUUUAUAUGAAACUACGAAGACCAUUACAUUUGGAUUACUGGACUGAGAAUUUCUCUUGGGAGGCCGAGGAGGGCAGAUCACAAGGUCAGAAGAUCAAGACCAUCCUGGCUAACAUGGUGAAACCCAGUCUCUACUAAAAAUACAAAAAAUUAGCCAGGCGUGGUGGUGGGCGCCUGUAAUCCCAGCUACUCACGAGGCUGAGGCAGGAGAAUGGCAUGACCCCAGGAGGUGGAGCUUGCAGUGAGCCGAGAUCAUGCCACUGCACUCCAGCCUGGGGGACAGAGUGAGACUCCAUCUCAAAAAAAAAAAAAAAAAAAAAAAAAGACGGAGAAUUUCUCAUAUGUGUCUUGGCAGUUUUCUAUUUCUUUUCUCUGUAAUAUGCAAUAACAUAUUUUGCCCAUUUUACUAUUGAUUUGUCAUUUCUCUUAUUAAUUUGUAGUUCUUUUUAAAUAUAGUCUGGAUACUAAUAACUUGUCAGUUAGUAAUGGCAAACCAUUUUCCAGUUUGUGUUUUCUACUUUUUCCAUGGUAGACUUUAAAGAGCAACUAUCAUUACUGUCAGUGUUGUUCAUCUCUAUUUUUAAUAAUUUUCAGUUUUUGUAAUGUUCUUAAGAACCUCUCUAUACCAAAUUGAUAAACAUAGUUUCUAAUAUUAUUUUAAAACCUUUGAAGUUGUGUCUUCCACAUAUAUAUUUUCAUUCUUCCAAGAAUUGAAAUUUUGUGUAAAGCAAGGAUUCCAUUUCUCAUUCCAUCUCACCUUGAUAUGUAUUACAAACAAUUUGUUCACAAUGUGUUGAAUAGUCCAUAAUUUCCCCCUAGGUAUGCAUCGUUAAUUCUGUUAUUGAUCAAGUUUUCAUGUACGAGUGGGUCUGUUUAUUAGCCCUACAAAUUUCAUUGGACAAUUUAUCAAUUCCACAGGGUCUCCAUUAAUAUAAUUGAUAUGAGUUAGGGCAGUUCUCCCCACUAGUUUGUGCUUUUCCAGGAAUGUCUCAGAUACUCUUUACUCUCAGAUGCAUUUCUAAUAAACUAUUGAAAAUACAAUCAUGUACCACACAAUAUUUUGGUCAAUAAUGGACUACAUAUAUGAUAGUAGUCCCAUAAGAUGAUAUUACCUUAUUUUUACUGUACUUUUUCUAUGUUUUGAUAUGUUUACAUACAUAAAUACUUUCCAAUAUGUUACAAUGGCCUACAGCAUUCAGUACAGUCCUGUGCUAUACAAGUCUGUAGCCUAGGAACAAUAGGCUACACCACAUAGCUUAGGUGGGUAGUGGGCUAUGCCACCUAGUUUUGUGUAAGUACACUCUAUGAUGUUCACACAAAGAUGAAAUUGCCUAAUGAUGUAUUUCUCAAAAUGUGUCCCCACUGUUAAGCAAUGCAUGAUUGUAUAUGCAAGACCCCAGUGAAGACUGAGUGGUUCACAAAAGAGUGACAUCUUCAUAAUUUUGAGUUUUCAUGAAAACAGUAUAAUUUUUCACCAACCUUAAGGUUCUCAUUCACAGUUUUAAAUAUAAAUUUAGAAUUUCUCCUAUACAUCUUCAUUAUAAUUUACAUUCUAUUACAAUUACAUUACAUAUAUUUUUAAAAAUUACUUUUCAAAAGUAUUUGUUUCAAGGAGAGAAAUGACUCUUGAAGUACGGAAUUCAUAACUUUUAACUGUAUAAAAUAUCUUACCGAUUAAAAUUAUAAUAUAGCUCUUAUUUUUAUUGAAAACAUAAUCAUAUAGGCAUAUGAUCUGGAAAUCAUAACUUUCACUUGUAUAAAACAUCUUAUUGAUUACAAUAAUAAUAUAGUUCAUAUUUUUAUUAAAAAAUCAUAAAGGCAUAUAAUCAUAGGCAAUACAUCUUCAUUAUAAUUUACAUUCCAUUACUAUUAUAUUACAUAUAUUUUAAAAAAUUACUUUUCAAAAGUAUUUGUUUCAAUGAUAGAAAUGACCUUUGAAAUGUGGAAUUUAUAACUUUCAAUUGUAUAAAAUAUCUUAUUGAUUAAUAUAAUAAUAUAGCUCUUUUUAUUUAAAAAUAAUCAUCUGGCAUAUAAUCAUAUAGGCAUAAUCAUAGAGGCCUAUGAUCAAAAAAUAUUCUUUUUUGCCUUGCAAAUCCAUAUUAAUUUUAACUCUGCUAAUAUUUAAUUAAAAAGUCCAGUGCACAUCACAAUAUUGUAUAUUUCCUGAGUUUUAAGUAAAGUUUUAAAUGUUUCACCAUGAAAACAUACACUCCUUGCAACUUUUGAUAACUCUCCUUUAAUAAAAUUUAAGAGAGUCCCCUUCUAGUCCUAAAUUUAGAAUUAUGUCUACAAUUAGUGGCUUAAAUUUAUCAAAUGAUCAUUCUGAAUCUAUGGAGUUGAUCAUGUUUUUUCCUCUCUAUUUUAAUAAUAUGGUGAAUAUACAUAAAUUUAAAUAUUGAAUUAGUCAUGUGUUCUCAGCAGAAUUCCAUUGAAUGCAUAGUACAUUGUUAUACAUUUUUCGUGUUUUUUUGUAGAAAUAUAUUUGAUUAUUGGUUGCAUAUCAUACUGGGUAUAAUAUUAUUUUAAUUCCUUUAAUCUCUUUUAAUUACUUUUGAUACUAUUUAUUAUUCUAAAAGUUUUCCACUUUGUCACCUUCAAAUACAAAAGUUUAAAAUGAUUCAUAGUAGCUUCUUAUUUUUUAAAAUCUGAUAUAAUCUAUUCAUCUUUGUUUAGUCAUAACAUGUUUAAUCUAUGUCAUCUUCCUUCUUUUUCUCAUCAUUGCACAAGUUUUCCAAUAUUAAGAGUUUUUUAACAAGCCCUCUAUAGUUUGAUAUUUAUUUUGGGGAAUGGUAUUAUUUAUGAGGUCAGUAAUAUAUGCUUGUAUAUUACUUCAUUUCUCAUACUUUUUUAGUUUUAAUUGUUUUGGAUAAUUUCUUCUUACGGACAUUUAGCUUAAUGGCUUUCAGCCUUUAUUAGUUACUACUGUAUACAAUUUAAAGUUAGGAGUCAGCUGGGCGAGGUGCCUCACACCUGUAAUCCCAGCACUUUGGGAGGCCAAGGGGAGUGGAUCACCAGGUCAGGAGACCAAGACCAUCCUGGCUAACAGGGUGAAAUCCCAUCUCUACUAAAAACACAAUACAAUUAGCCAGACAUGGUGGCAGACGCCUGUAGUCCCAGCUUCUUGGGAGGCUGAGGCAGGAGAAUGGGGUAAACCCGGGAGGUGGAGUUUGCAGUGAGCCGGGAUCGCACCAUUGCCCUCCAGCCUGGGCAACAGAGUGACAUUCCAUCUCAAAAAAAAAAACAAAAACAAACCGCAAAAAUUAGCCAGACGCAGUGGUAGGUGCCUGUAAUCCCAGCUAGCAGGGAGGCUGAGGCAGAAGAAUCGCUUGAGCCCAGGAGACGGAGGUUGCAGUGAGCCGAGAUCACACUACUGCUCUCCAGCCUGGGCAACAGAGUGAGACUCCAUCUCAAAAAAAUUAAUAAUAAUCAAAAUAAAAAAUUUAAAUAUCUUACAAGUUUUCAUGUAAAAUAUUUUUAUUAUUAACCAAAUGAAGUGAAAAAGUUUUCUGUAAGUAGCCUUUAAGUUUUCACAUAUGAUAUUUUCAGGAUUAUUUUCAGUCUUUUCUAAAUUCUUAUUUCUUUUUGCUAACAUAUCAUUAUAAAUAUAUUUUUCAACUUUUAAAUAUAUGAGUUAUGUUUUGUUAUCUCUGUCUUAUGGGAUCCUAAAUUGCAUUAUAGCAUGAGAAAUUGGUCAGUGUGAUAUCAGUCGCUUAAAAUUUGUUAUAUUAUUACAUUUUGGAUGAUCAAUUUUGGCAAGUGUAAAGCUAAAAAUGAUAUAUAUAUUGAUUAAUUCUUGGAUAUAGAACGAUAUAUGCAUAUCUCUCAGAAAAGUGAUGAUCAACCUGUGGUCAGCCAAAAAGUACCAGACUAAAAAUUUGUCCAUAUGUGACAAAGUAAGUACAGUUCACAAAACAUUUUUUCUUUUUUAUAUCAAGAACAAUACAUUGAUUGGUUCUGAUGUGUUUCAUUUCUCACCUCAUAUUACAAAUAGUUGGUAGCCUGGCUACUUUAAGUAGCACUGUCUUGGGUGACUUUUGUUAAUUGUGCUUUUCAAAGCUUCUAUGUCUCUACUGAUUUUAUACCUGACUUAUCUAAGAGAGGAAUAGGAACACUCUUAAUUAUAUUAUGUGCUCCUGAAUUUUGACCUGUAUUCAUAUCAAUUUUGUUUAUUAUUAAAAUGUGUGUCACUAUGAUAUGGACAGUAGGCAGGGAAAUACUGUGUAGAAGAGGGCAGGGUCUCUGGUGAAGCCCCGCUCUCAAGCCUGGACACGCGGCCCAAAGGGGGAACAUGUAUUCCUGUUUUCCCACCUGAAUGUUGCCUUUUCCAACACUCCCCUGUCUCAUCCAACCCCAUCCUGAAACCAUGAAAACCCCAAGCUCCACUGUCAGUGGGUUGGUGCGGCAGAGAAGGAGAGAAGAAAAGAAGCAUCUGAACAGUGAGAUUAAGCAGCUGGACACAUCAGUGACGAUGGUCAGAGAAGAGUUCAGCCAGGCAUGGCCAAACUCCAGGGAAGACCACCUUCACACUCCAUCCCCUUUCCAGCUCACGAUACUGCUGAGAGCCACUUCCACCACUCAAUAAAAUAGUCUGCAUUCACCACCCUUCAGUUUGUUCGUGCAACCUCAUUCCUCCCAGAUGCUAGAUGAGGACCUGGGUGCGGGUGCAAGAGGCUGUCACACUGACCCUCCACUGAGCUGUUGAACCCUUAAGCUGUCCAUGGAUGUCAAAGCUAAAAGAGUGCACUGAAACACAUGCCCUCUGGGGCUCCAAGGGUGGUGGGCAACUCCCAGAUGCUGCCAUGGGCCUGAACAAAGUUCUGCUCCUGAUGGUUGCGCAGAAGUGCUUGUCCUGGCCUCUGCACCCACUCACCGGCAUGCUCCCGCUCCUGCAAGGAUUUGAAAGCUGUGGGCUAAGUAAAUGAGCCAACCCCAUCACGAGUACCACGUAGGGGUCAAGGGAACUAUCCUGUUUCAACUACAUUUAGAAUUAACAUCUACUCCUGGUGAAGGGGGCAAUGACCACCUUUAAUUCAGUGUCCUUUUUCCUUUUUUUUGAGACAGAGUCUCGCUCUAUUGCCCAGGCUGGAGUGCAGUGGCACGGUCUCGGCUCACUGCAAGCUCCGCUUCCCGGGUUCACGCCAUUCGCCAUUCUCCUGCCUCAGCCUCCCAAGUAGCUGGGACUACAGGUGCCUGCCACCAUGCCUGGCUAAUUUUUUGUAUUUUUAAAAUUUAUUUAUUUUUAAGUAGAGACAGGGUUUCACUGUGUUAGCCCAGAUGGUCUCGAUGUCCUGACCUUGUGAUCCACCCGCCUCAGCCUCCCAAAGUGCAUUGGUGCCAACUGUUUUUAUUAAUUUGCUUAGAAAUUAACUGCUAUAAUUUUAUUCUCCAGCUUAUAUCUACUUUCUGUGUCUUUAUGUUUAAAUAUGUAUGUUCUAAACAAAACAUAAUUGAAAUUUUAACAUUUAAUUCAGCCUGCUAAUGCUAUUAAAUUAUAAAAUUAAGACUGCGUUUUUGUUACUAUUUGUAUGUCAAAAUUUGUUUCAAUCAUCUCAUUUUACAGUGAUUAGUUAAGCAAUAAUAGAUAAGUUAUAUAUAACAGUAAUGUGCUGACAGUUAUAAUUAUUGUUUCAUAAGGCCAAUAUUUGUUUAGAUUUGUCCACACGUUUACCACUCUCGUGCAGCUCUUUGUCUUACCUCUAAGUCUUUCUUUCUGGAGAAACGUUUCUGCUUGAUGGAAGUAUAUGCUUUCAAGUGACUUAAAUGGAUUUCUGCAUGUUAAACUUUUUCUGUUUUAGUUUUUUGAUAAUUGCACUACUUCAUCCUAAAAAUUGAAAGCUACUUUGUUGGAUUGCCAUUUAAUUUAACAGUGUAUUUCUCUCAUAAUUUUAAAAUAGUGCAUUGAGAGAUCAUCUACCUAUUUGCUGUUAUUGCUUUAUAGGUAAAUUUUUUCCCUCUGGCUCCUAUUAAAAUAUUCUCUUUGUUUUUGAUAUUCUGAGUUGUCUAAUGAUAACCUAGGUAUAGAUUUCUUAUUAUAUUUCCUGAUCAGAAUGAU
rnacentral:lncRNA from 1 species